CACACACUUGACGCAGUGUAGAAUGUCUUUUUUCUUUUGCGAUCACACGCAAUCAAUACAACUUUCAAGCAACGGAUCUCUUGGCUCUCGCAUCGAUGAAGAACGCAGCGAAAUGCGAUACGUAAUGUGAAUUGCAGAAUUCAGUGAAUCAUCGAAUCUUUGAACGCAGCCUUGCGCCCCUUGUGCAUUCCGAGGGGCACACCCGUUUGAGUGUCGUGAAAUUCUCAAAACCCUUUCUUUUUGGUACUUUCGAGUCGAAGAAAGGCUUUUGGACUUGGAGGCUUUUUGCUGGUUUCACCUUGAAGCGAGCUCCUCCUAAAUGAAUCAGUGGGGUCCGCUUUGCUGAUCCUUGACGUGAUAAGAUGUUUCUACGUCUUGGGUUUUGGCACUGUCCCUUGGGCACCUGCUUCAAACCGUCUCAUUGACAACGAUGGUGUUCCGGUCACCGCCGCUUC
rnacentral:rRNA from 1 species